rnacentral:rRNA from 1 species
UACGUAGGGGGCUAGCGUUGUCCGGAUUUAUUGGGCGUAAAGAGCGUGUAGGCGGCCAGGUAGGUCUGGUGUGAAAACUCGAGGCUUAACCUCGAGAUGUCAUCGGAAACCAUCUGGCUAGAGUCCGGAAGAGGAGAGUGGAAUUCCUGGUGUAGCGGUGAAAUGCGUAGAGAUCGGGAGGAAGGCCGGUGGCGAAGGCGGCGCUCUGGAACGUUUCUGACGCUGAGGCUCGAAAGCGUGGGGAGCAAACAGGG